rnacentral:rRNA from 1 species
CCGGCGUGGAGGAUGAAGGCUUUCGGGUUGUAAACUCCUGUCAUUUGGGAACAAGGUGCAACGAUUAACUGUCGAUGCAUUGAUAGUACCAGAAGAGGAAGAGACGGCUAACUCUGUGCCAGCAGCCGCGGUAAUACAGAGGUCUCAAGCGUUGUUCGGAUUCAUUGGGCGUAAAGAGUGCGUAGGUGGCGGGGUAAGUCAGGUGUGAAAUUUCGGAGCUCAACUCCGAAACUGCAUUUGAUACUGCCUUGCUUGAGGACUGGAGAGGAGACUGGAAUUCACGGUGUAGCAGUGAAAUGCGUAGAUAUCGUGAGGAAGACCAGUGGCGAAGGCGGGUCUCUGGACAGUUCCUGACACUGAGGCACGAAGGCCAGGGGAGCAAACGGGAUUAGAUACCCCGGUAGUCCUGGCAGUAAACGGUGCACGUUUGGUGUGGGGGGAUUCGACCCCUUCCGCGCCGGAGCUAACGCGUUAAACGUGCCGCCUGGGGAGUACGGUCGCAAGAUUA